UUGACCGAGGGCGACUCUCUGUCUCUCUCUCUCCGCCUCCGCCGAGGGCUUCCGAGAAUCCACCAGCGAGCAGCGAGACAGGGACCCCUCCGCCGCCACCACCACCGCCCUCCUCGCCGCCGCCUCACCGCCCCCAUCGCCGUCUCCUACGUCCUCCUUUCCCCGCACCGGAGAUCCGGCGGUUCUCGGUAACGAACUUUCCCCCCUCCCCAACUUUUUUUGUCCGCGGGGCGUGAUCCCGUUCAAUUCCCGCAUGCACGCCUGCCUAGAUUGAUCCGGAAUUUUCUUCCCCGUUUCGCGCAUGUCGUGUUUGCGAUCUGCUGGUGGCUUCUCGUUUGCUGAAUUCGUAGGGCAAGUGCGAUUCGGCGAUGGUUUCGGUUGUGAAAUUGAUGGUGUUGAUGCGUCUUCUUCGACGGAAGAGUGUCAUAAUUCUUCCAUAACCAUCGGCCCAUCACCAGGGGCACGGUUCCACUGCAUGCGCCCGAGUGAUCCGUAAUUGACCUAGUUCAGUUAUGUUUUCUCUUAGGCAUGGCUCUUUUUCGUUAGAUUUCCUAUGUAUGUGUAACUAACUUGUGUGACAGACUUGAUUCUCGUACAUGUGAGCUAAGGAAUUGGAUGUAUGCAUCAAAUUCAGUUGCCAGCGCGAUUUUUCCACUAAAGCAAAAUGAGAGUUCAGAGAUUUACAGUGCGCGCUUCCGCUGUUCUGUUUAUCUUCAGCGCCAAUCCGGUGAGAUUGUGAUAGAGACAAAUUCCGCUGUGUAGUAGGCUUAGUUGGGAUUGGCUCCACGAAAG
rnacentral:lncRNA from 1 species